UUUACUGGAUAUAGUUUUACAUCAAAAUUUAUUACUUUAUCUUUCUAGGUUUAUCAUAAACCCUAAUCUUAACACUCAACCAUAAUCAGGCUUAAUUUGGAACAAGAAGUUGGAAAUUAGGGGAAGGUUAAGAAGGAAAAAGAACACAAGAAGAAAGGUAUUGGUAAAAGAAUAUUUACAAAUACAUAUGAAAGACUGAGGGAAAGGGGACCAUGGUGGUAUUAGGUCUCUGGGACAGGGAUAAAAGGAGACAGUGGGUGGGCAAGGUCCCUGCGAUAGCUGUACCCACCACCCCGCCCCAGGAGUUCCACUGGCUCAGGACUUCUGGGUCAUCUUUG